rnacentral:lncRNA from 1 species
UUACAAGUACACUGUACACCCCUCAAUACUAACUACUCAAGUACUCAUCUUGUAUUUGAAAUUGAAUAUAACAUAAUAAAGAUUUCUAGAUGAAGUUAAGACUUAAGCCGCGAUGAGCAAUGAGCACUGACCUUUGACUAUUGAGUCGCGAGCAUUGAGCAGACAACAGUUGCGGGAUGCGAGCAAUCAACGUCAGCGAGGAGCCAGGAGCAGCGGCAAGCUUGAGACGACGAGCUGAGAGAUGAGAGUUGAGAGACGAGCUCGGAGCCGCGGCGUAACUAAGAGUCUGAGACGACAGUUGAAACUGAUGGACUACGGUGGUCUCAGAUUAGGGAUUUCUAAUUCAGAUUGGAAUUUGGGCCUGGGCAUGGGUUAUUGGGCUGAGAGUUGUAUUUUUAUUAAAGGAAUGGGCUGAGAUUUAAUGAAGGGGU